AUGUUUUUUUUUUAUUUAAAUUAUCUUUCUAACAUUAAAACCCUAGCACAACAAAACUCAGUAGAACGCACAGCUUGGAGUCGCACUGAACUCAGCUUAGCCGUAAGAAAUCAAAAUCUCGCCGGAGCUAAUCGGUCGUCAGAAACAGCGAGAAACUCUUCCAG